GAUGAAGAACGCAGUGAAAUGCGAUAAGUAAUGUGAAUUGCAGAAUUCAGUGAAUCAUCGAAUCUUUGAACGCACAUUGCGCCCGCCAGCACUCUGGCGGGCAUGCCUGUUCGAGCGUCAUUUCAACCAUCAAGCCCCCAGGGGCUUGUGCUGGGGCCCUGCGGCUGCCCGCAGGCCCUGAAAACCAGUGGCGGGCUCGCUAGUCACACCGAGCGCAGUAGCACAUCUCGCUCAGGGCGUGCGGCGGGCUCCUGCCGUGAAACCCCCCACUGUAACACCAAAGGUUGACCUCGGAUCAGGUAGGAAUACCCGCUGAACUUAAGCAUAUCAAUAAGCGGAGGA
rnacentral:misc_RNA from 1 species